ensembl:misc_RNA Metazoa_SRP Metazoan signal recognition particle RNA
GCCGGGCGCGGUGGCUCACGCCUGUAAUCCCAGCACUUUGGGAGGCCGAGGUGGGUGGAUCACCUGAGGUCGGGAGUUCGAGACCAGCCUGACCAACAUGGAGAAACCCCAUCUCUA